UACGAAGGGGGCUAGCGUUGUUCGGAAUUACUGGGCGUAAAGCGCACGUAGGCGGCUCUUUAAGUCGGGGGUGAAAUCCUGGAGCUCAACUCCAGAACUGCCUUCGAUACUGGAGAGCUCGAGUCCGGGAGAGGUGAGUGGAACUGCGAGUGUAGAGGUGAAAUUCGUAGAUAUUCGCAAGAACACCAGUGGCGAAGGCGGCUCACUGGCCCGGUACUGACGCUGAGGUGCGAAAGCGUGGGGAGCAAACAGG
rnacentral:rRNA from 1 species